rnacentral:rRNA from 1 species
CCUACGGGCGGCAGCAGUGGGGAAUAUUGGACAAUGGGGGGAACCCUGAUCCAGCCAUGCCGCGUGUGUGAAGAAGGCCCUCGGGUUGUAAAGCACUUUCAGUGAGGAAGAACGCCUGGUGGUUAAUACCCAUCAGGAAAGACAUCACUCACAGAAGAAGCACCGGCUAACUCCGUGCCAGCAGCCGCGGUAAUACGGAGGGUGCGAGCGUUAAUCGGAAUUACUGGGCGUAAAGCGCGCGUAGGUGGCUUGAUAAGCCGGUUGUGAAAGCCCCGGGCUCAACCUGGGAACGGCAUCCGGAACUGUCAAGCUAGAGUGCAGAAGAGGAAGGUAGAAUUCCCGGUGUAGCGGUGAAAUGCGUAGAGAUCGGGAGGAAUACCAGUGGCGAAGGCGGCCUUCUGGACUGACACUGACACUGAGGUGCGAAAGCGUGGGUAGCAAACAGGAUUAGAUACCCCGGUAGUC